rnacentral:ncRNA from 1 species
UUCAUAACGAAGAAAUAGAUAAGUAGCGCAACAAUCAAUUUUUAAGAGACUUAGUGGUGCUGGGAACUAGGAUAUAUUGUUGGGUGAAUUACACUAUGGAGUUAUUUCGGGUCAUUUACGUUAUCAAUGCAAAAGAUGGCUGAAGACAUAUUUUCAGCAACUUGGGUGGUACCGCGGAAAAAUUCGUCCCUAAU